rnacentral:rRNA from 1 species
GGAAGGUCCAGGCGUUAUCCGGAUUUAUUGGGUUUAAAGGGAGCGCAGGCGGACCUUUAAGUCAGCUGUGAAAUACGGCGGCUCAACCGUCGAACUGCAGUUGAUACUGGAGGUCUUGAGUGCACACAGGGAUGCUGGAAUUCAUGGUGUAGCGGUGAAAUGCUCAGAUACCAUGAAGAACUCCAAUCGCGAAGGCAGGCAUCCGGGGUGCAACUGACGCUGAGGCUCGAAAGUGCGGGUAUCAAACAGGAUUAGAUACCCUGGUAGUCCGCACAGUAAACGAUGAAUACUCGCGAUUUGCGAUAUACAGUAAGUCGCCAAGCGAAAGCGUUAAGUAUUCCACCUGGGGAGU